rnacentral:rRNA from 1 species
GACGAACGCUGGCGGCGUGCUUAACACAUGCAAGUCGAACGGAAAGGCCCUGCUUUUGUGGGGUGCUCGAGUGGCGCACGGGUGAGUAACACGUGGGUAACCUGCCCUUGACUUUGGGAUAACUUCAGGAAACUGGGGCUAAUACCGGAUAGGAGCUCCUGCUGCAUGGUGGGGGUUGGAAAGUUUCGGCGGUUGGGGAUGGACUCGCGGCUUAUCAGCUUGUUGGUGGGGUAGUGGCUUACCAAGGCUUUGACGGGUAGCCGGCCUGAGAGGGUGACCGGCCACAUUGGGACUGAGAUACGGCCCAGACGCCUACGGGAGGCAGGAGUGGGGAAUAUUGCACAAUGGGCGGAAGCAUGAUGCAGCAACGCCGCGUGGGGGAUGACGGCCUUCGGGUUGUAAACCGCUUUCGCCUGUGACGAAGCGUGAGUGACGGUAAUGGGGAAAGAAGCACCGGCUAACUACGU